rnacentral:rRNA from 1 species
GAUGAACGCUGGCGGCGUGCUUAACACAUGCAAGUCGAACGGAAAGGCCCAAGCUUGCUUGGGUACUCGAGUGGCGAACGGGUGAGUAACACGUGGGUGAUCUGCCCUGCACUUCGGGAUAAGCCUGGGAAACGGGGUCUAAUACCGGAUAGGACCACAUUUGGGAUGGUGUGGUGGAAAGUUUUUCGGUGUGGGAUGAGCUCGCGGCCUAUCAGCUUGUUGGUGGGGUAAUGGCCUACCAAGGCGUCGACGGGUAGCCGGCCUGAGAGGGUGUACGGCCACAUUGGGACUGAGAUACGGCCCAGACUCCUACGGGAGGCAGCAGUGGGGAAUAUUGCACAAUGGGCGCAAGCCUGAUGCAGCGACGCCGCGUGGGGGAUGACGGCCUUCGGGUUGUAAACUCCUUUCGCUAGGGACGAAGCGUUAUGUGACGGUACCUGGAGAAGAAGCACCGGCUAACUACGUG